AUGAGGGCAUUCCUUCCCUAGACCAUCCACCACUCAUUUGUUCCUUUCAUUAAUUCAUUUGUUCAACCAAAAUUUAUUGUCGCCACUUAUGUGCUGGGGACACAGAAGUGCGGGAGACAGACUAGGAGCUUAUAAUUGACUGAUGGGGCUGGACAGGUGAUCACUGCACACUGGAAUGUGGGAAGCAUAGGAUACCAUCCGAACACGGGGAAGACCGCUCUCAUUUGCAGAGCCCAAGGAGACUUUCCUGAGGAGAUGGUGACUCAGCCAAGACUUCAAAGAUAAACAGGCUUAAUAUAAACAAAAGAAGCCCUGUUGGAGUUUCUGGAAAGAGCCCAGAGUGGCUCAGAUGUAAUGAGCCCUUAAAAGGCGGCUUGAGCCCAAGCGCCCAUCAAAGCUGGCACAUCUCCUCUGCAGGUUUCCCACCACUGCUUGCGCAUCUCCAGGGCUGACUUCAGUGGGCUCUGCUCCGGCCAUCCGAGGUCCCUGCCCAGCCACGCCAAGUACUGACAGGGGGACUGUGAAGCCAAAAGCUUCGCCUGGUGCCUGGUGCAGAGAAGGUGCGAGAUGCAAUGAGAUAAUCACCCGUGACAGAGGUAGUCACCUGUGCUCCAGAACCAUCCAGGAGGGCAGUAAUCAGAGCAGGAGACCCUUGAGUUAAGUCCUAAGAGGUGUAUAGGAUUUAACCAGAUGAAGAGAGACAGAAUCGGAUUCCAAGAGUUCCCCUCCAGUUCCCGUGUCCCCUGGCCAUCUCUUCUCCAUACUGAGCAUGCCCAGGUCCUGCCUCACACCCCUCCCCCGUGGCUGGUGUGGUCCUGCUCCUUAUUUAAGAGGCAGUGCCCAGGACAGAGCCUUGAGAGAGAACACAGCACAGUGUAGAAGCAUGUGGAGACUAGAGCCAGAUAUUCAAGUCUAGGCCUCAUCCUUGCCAGCUGUGCCAUCUUGGACAUGUUACUUAACUCCUCUGUUCUUAAGUUGCCUCAUCUACAGAAGAGGGGGAUAGUAACAGGAUUUACUUUGUAGACUUGUUGUGACGAUAUAACGCCUGGAAAGAGUCUAGACAUGGUGAACACUCAAGAAAUGUGGACAUCUCAACAUGACUAAUCAUUACGGAAACGCAAAUGAAAACCACAGUGAGAUAUCACCUCACACCUGUUAGAAUGGCUCUUAUCAAAAAGAUGAGAUAACAAGUGUUGGCGAGGAUGUGGUAAAAAGGAAACACUUGUGCAUUGUUGGUGGGAGUGCAAAUUGGUGCAGCCACUAUGGAAAACAGUAUGGAGGUUCCUCAAAACAUUAAAAAUAGAACUACCAUAUGAUCCAGCAAUUCCACUUCUGGGUAUUUAUCUGAAGAAAAUGAAAACACUAACCUCAAAAAUAUAUUUGCACCCCCAUGUUCCUUGCAGCAUUAUUUACAAUAGGUAAGAUAUGGAAACAACCUAAGUGUCCAUCUGUGGAUGAACGUAUAAAUAAGAUGUGGUACAUAUAUGCAAUGGAAGGUCAUUCAGCCAUAAAACGAAGGAAAUCCUGCCAUUUGCAACAACAUGGAUGGACCUUGAGGGCAUUACACUGAGCCAAGUCACUUCACCUCUCUGAGCCUCAGACUCCUAACUGUCCACUGGGAGUUGCCAUCACCAGAAGGCAGUGCCCAGGAAGUCAGGGACUUUAAUGGGCUGUUUGCUGUAUAUCCCAGGGCCUACAAUGGAAUAAGGUACAUGGUGCUCAAAAGUAUACGUCAGGUAAGUGAAUGAAUGAAUGAAUGAAUGCCCAGCCUUGGUCUGAGGGCAGUAGUGGAGACCCAGUGAGCUAAUAGACAACAGAGGCCAACUUGAUUCCAUGCUCCAGAUCUGUGCACACACUGGCAACUGGACCUCUCCUUCAGGAUGCUUCCAGGCCUCAGACUCUCCACAACUGAGCCCAGACUCAUCACUUGUCUUCCUACCCUGCCUCUCUCACACAUUCCCAGCUCUAACAUCGUUGCCCCUGACCACUUGCUAGGAGCCCCCUCAGUAUCCCAUGCUAAACGCUUAUCCAUCAUUUGCUCCAUCUCCUAAAUAGCUCUCAGUUCCACCCACUCUCUCCAUCUGAACUCAGUCACCUCAACCAGACCACCUUAACCAUCCUCUCUCCCUCCCUACUUACUACAGUGACCUGCCAACUGGUCUGUCUCUAGUCAUACCCCCCACCACACGUACCAUUCCAUCCUCCCCACUGCAGCCAGAUGGGUCUUUCUCUUCCAGGACUCCUCAUUCUCUUCAGGACAGAGUCCAAAUUCCUCAGCAGGGCCUGCAUAGCCCUUGGAAACUAACCCCUGCUUAUCUUCAGCUUUCUCCCUCUCCAUACUCCCUUCCUUUUACUAUACAACACUCUCCUUAUGUUUCAAGAACUGCUAUGCUCUUUCCAUGCCUCUAUGCCUUUGCACAUCCCGCUCCUGUGGCCUGGAAUGUGCAAAGCCCUCCCUUGUCUGCAUAAUAAGCAUUUAUCCCUCAAUGCUCUCAAGAACAUCCAGGGAAACCCAUCCUGACCACCCCAGAGUUGGCACCUCACUCUGAGAUUUGUACAACUUCUUGUGAAC
ensembl:lncRNA